rnacentral:rRNA from 1 species
GCCGAACCGAGCGAACGUUGUUCGGAACCACUGGGCUUAAAGGGCGCGUAGGCGGGCUGUCAAGUCUGGGGUGAAAUCCCACGGCUCAACCGUGGAACUGCCUCAGAUACUGACGGCCUCGAGGGAGGUAGGGGCGAGCGGAACGGGUGGUGGAGCGGUGAAAUGCGUUGAUAUCACUCGGAACUCCGGUGGCGAAAGCGGCUCGCUGGACCUUUUCUGACGCUGAGGCGCGAAAGCUAGGGUAGAAAACGGG